rnacentral:rRNA from 1 species
CAGCCCUAAACGAUGCGCGUUAGGUGUAUCGGUGACCACGAGUCACCGAGGUGCCGAAGGGAAACCGUGAAACGUGCCGCCUGGGAAGUACGGUCGCAAGGCUGAAACUUAAAGGAAUUGGCGGGGGAGCACUACAACGGGUGGAGCCUGCGGUUUAAUUGGACUCAACGCCGGAAACUCACCGGGGGCGACAGCAAUAUGUAGGUCAAGCUAAAGACUUUACCAGAAUCGCUGAGAGGAGGUGCAUGGCGUAGUCGUGU